AAUCUUCCACAAUGGACGAAAGUCUGAUGGAGCAACGCCGCGUGAGUGAAGAAGGUUUCUGGAUCGUAAAACUCUGUUGUUGGAGAAGAACGUAUUUGAUAUUAACUCAUCAGGUAGUUACGGUAUUCAACCAGAAAGCCACUGCUAACUAUGUGCCACCCGCCGCGGUAAUACGUAGGUGGCAAGCGUUGUCCGGAUUUAUUGGGCGUAAAGCGAGCGCAGGCGGUUUCGUAAGUCUGAUGUGAAAGCCUUCGGCUCAACCGAAGAAGUGCAUCGGAAACUGGGAAACUUGAGUGCAGAAGAGGACAGUGGAACUCCAUGUGUAGCGGUGAAAUGCGUAGAUAUAUGGAAGAACACCAGUGGCGAAGGCGGCUGUCUGGUCUGUAACUGACGCUGAGGCUCGAAAGCAUGGGUAGCAAACA
rnacentral:rRNA from 1 species